UACGUAGGUGGCAAGCGUUGUCCGGAUUUACUGGGCGUAAAGAGCGCGCAGGCGGUCGAUUAAGUCGAGUGUGAAAGCCCCCCGGCUCAACUGGGGAGGGUCACUUGAUACUGGUCGACUCGAAGGCAGGAGAGGGAAGUGGAAUUCCCGGUGUAGUGGUGAAAUGCGUAGAUAUCGGGAGGAACACCAGUGGCGAAGGCGACUUCCUGGCCUGUUCUUGACGCUGAGGCGCGAAAGCUAGGGGAGCAAACGGGG
rnacentral:rRNA from 1 species